CAUGCAGUCGAGCGGAACGAGUUAUCUGAACCUUCGGGGAACGAUAACGGCGUCGAGCGGCGGACGGGUGAGUAAUGCCUAGGAAAUUGCCCUGAUGUGGGGGAUAACCAUUGGAAACGAUGGCUAAUACCGCAUGAUGCCUACGGGCCAAAGAGGGGGACCUUCGGGCCUCUCGCGUCAGGAUAUGCCUAGGUGGGAUUAGCUAGUUGGUGAGGUAAGGGCUCACCAAGGCGACGAUCCCUAGCUGGUCUGAGAGGAUGAUCAGCCACACUGGAACUGAGACACGGUCCAGACUCCUACGGGAGGCAGCAGUGGGGAAUAUUGCACAAUGGGCGCAAGCCUGAUGCAGCCAUGCCGCGUGUGUGAAGAAGGCCUUCGGGUUGUAAAGCACUUUCAGUCGUGAGGAAGGUAGUGUAGUUAAUAGCUGCAUUAUUUGACGUUAGCGACAGAAGAAGCACCGGCUAACUCCGUGCCAGCAGCCGCGGUAAUACGGAGGGUGCGAGCGUUAAUCGGAAUUACUGGGCGUAAAGCGCAUGCAGGUGGUUUGUUAAGUCAGAUGUGAAAGCCCGGGGCUCAACCUCGGAAUUGCAUUUGAAACUGGCAGACUAGAGUACUGUAGAGGGGGGUAGAAUUUCA
rnacentral:rRNA from 1 species